rnacentral:lncRNA from 1 species
GUGUUGGUUAGUUAAGACUUUUUAAGUAUCCUUUUUAUCUAAAACUAAGACCCAUAUGGAGCCCUCUUAGCCCUCUAUCUAGAUGGUACAAACUUUAAAGUGUGCCAUGGCCAGAUGUGGCGUCAAACAUCCUUUUAUUUUUGGCACAUGCUGGAUGAAGCGAUGCAAACAAUCGUGACUUCACAUCAGAAACCUUGUUCAAAGAGC